GCUUAACUGUCCGUAUGCUAGGAAUACUGCUCUGCUAGAGGGCGGGAGAGGUCUGAGGUACUACAGGGGUAGGGGUGAAAUCUUAUAAUCCUUGUAGGACCACCAGUGGCGAAAGCGUCAGACUGGAACGCGCCUGACGGUGAGGGACGAAAGCCAGGGGAGCGAACCGGAUUAGAUACCCGGGUAGUCCUGGCCGUAAACGAUGCAUACUAGGCAAUGGUGCGGCCAUGAGCCGCAUCAGUACCGUAGGGAAACCGUUAAGUUGCCGCCUGGGAAGUACGGUCGCAAGGCUAAAACUUAAAGGAAUUGGGCGGGGAGCACCACAAGGGGUGAAGCCUGCGGUUCAAUUGGACUCAACGCCGGGAAACUUACCAGGGGAGACAGCAGAAUGACAGUCAGGUUGACGACCUUACUCGACGAGCUGAGAGGAGGUGCAUGGCCGUCGCCAGUUCGUGCUGUGAGGUAUCGUGUUAAGUCAGGCAACGAACGAGAUCCGCGCCUUUAUUUGCCAUCAAGAAGU
rnacentral:rRNA from 1 species